UACGUAGGGUGCAAGCGUUAUCCGGAAUCAUUGGGCGUAAAGCGCGUGUAGGCGGUUCAGUAAGUCCGCUCUGAAAGCCCAGGGCUCAACCCUGGGAGGCGGGUGGAUACUAACUGGACUAGAGUACGGAAGAGGAGAUUGGAAUUCCUGGUGUAGCGGUGGAAUGCGCAGAUAUCAGGAGGAACACCAAUAGCGAAGGCAGCUCGCUGGGACGGUACUGAGCUAAGGCGCGAAAGCGUGGGGAGCGAACAGG
rnacentral:rRNA from 1 species